UUUUGCUACUAAGAGGUAUUUAGGUUCAUUUGAACUGUUUGCAAUCGGUCCUAGGAUAUCUACAGAUAAUACGUCAGCUAGGCAAUGUGCUUCUACAAAUGAAAAUUCUACCGGUUUCUUUAUUCCAUAGGAUUUGUUUGAUUUACAUGCUAGGCAGGCACUGGUCAGGUAUCGAGCAUAAUGUUUUGAAUUUGAUGAAUAAUAAAAUCUUCGGAAAAUUUGGGUCAACUUGUUGGCACCAACAUGUCCAAAAAUAUCAUGUAUAUACAUCAUCGUGUCUGCGAAUAGUUCAUCGGGAAGGACAGGUACGAUUGAGUCAUCCUUAUAUCUGAACAUUAGGAAUUCUCUACCAUUGAUUUCGUGUAUCUCGUAUCUUUUAGCUAAUUGUUCUUUUGCAAGACGUUCUCUUUUUGUGAGUUCUGAGCCGGGUGUUCUUAACUUACGUGUAAUUUUCAUGCAAUUCGGAUCUCUCUUCUGCAUAACAUCGAUUUUGUCUAAACUGCUGAGCAGUUUGUCAACAAUUUUUUCUUGAUGUGUGUCUACUUGUGUUACGAAAUUGAUAACGUUGAUGCUGUUCAAAGUCAAUUCAGGAGCUUGAAUUCCAAACCACCGUUUAUGCUUUUUUCGCAAAUCAUAUAUCAAGUUGUAACAAUUGAGUUGAGUGAUCCAUAUAGCAGCUUUCCGGUGUACUUCGGCUAUGACCUCGAAUUGUGAAACAAUUGAUUUCAAAUCACUUCUAACAUGGAUGGUCCUUCCAUGUAGCCAAAGCUGCAACUUUUUGAUUGUUUUUGCAAGAUUGUACAUUUCUCGUUCUAUGAGAGUAUAUGACUUCUGGUGUUCUUUGAAUGAAAAACUAGAAAACAUUACUAUUUCGUCUUGACCUUCGAAUGUUUGGUAUAAAACUGCAUUCAUAGCAUCAGGUGAAGUAUAGGUAUCGAGCCAUAGGUCAAUUCCGUUUCGGGGGGAUUUUAGAGCAAAAUUUUCCGUGUAUUUUUCUUUAAGUAAUUCAAAAGCUUCUUCCUGCUCCUUGCCCCAGUGAAAUGUUACGCCUUUUUCCGUCAACUUGUAUAAAUUACGUAGUAUCUGCUGAUAGCAGGGGAUAAACCGCCUAUAGAGUCCGGUUAACCCUAUUAAUUCAAGCACUUCUGUUGCAUUCUUUAAUUCAAACUUACCGGUUUUCUUAUUAGUGUGCUUUUCGAUAUACUCCAUGAAUUUGGCAAUUUUCUUCGAUUGUUUCUUGAUAAUGCCAGCUUCUAAAUCGAAACCUAGAUGGUCGAUUUGUUUACGGAAAAAUGUCGAUUUAGUUGCGUUCAACUUCAGUCCAUUCGCUCUUAAUUUCUUGAAUGUGUCUUCUAAUAAUGAUAACAUUUCUUCGAAAGUUUUACAUCGGAGUAGAAUAUCGUCGACGUACUUGGUUAGGCCAUCUUUGUCUGGUAUUACGUGGUUAAUGAGUUUUACGAAAUAUGCUGAAGAUAUUUUGAGUCCAUACGGUAAACGUAUGAAUUGGUAGACACGCCCAUCGAUUUGGAAAGCGCAAUAUUUACGAAAAGAUUCUUCGAGCACGAUUUGCCAGAAACCAGCAACGAAAUCUAACGAACUGAAAAACUUGGCUUCUGGGUAUUCUGUCCGGUAUCUUUAACGCCAUCGGGUAAAGAGUAGAAUCUGCGAGCGGUGUCAGCUCGGUUCAAAAUGGCAUACAUUUCGUCAACAUACUGCGAUCCCAUCGUAACGUUGUUAAUUGCAAGUUUAUCUGCAUAUUCGUGGAAUUGUAGAAUUGGGAUACUUUCGAUGUCGUGUUCGGGGGUACGAUUAUAUAUUCUGAGGUGGUUACCACUUGUUUGUUCGCCAUCAUGCAUUGAACUGGUUCGUGUAAUUCUAAAAAGUCAAGCUCGCUUGAAUGUUCCCGUAUCAAUCUUAGCGCUGUUUCUUCAGAUAUAACGUUAAGGACUGCCCCAGUGUCAAGUUGGGUUGGGAAGUCCGUUUCACCAAUUUGGAGAUUGACUACGCACGUUUGUGGCAUCAUCCGUCGCUGUAUUAAUUGGGAAACUACCGAGGGAGUUUCAUCGUUGC